GGAGAGGUGGCAGAGUGGUUUAAUGUACCUGACUCGAAAUCAGGCGUACGUUCAUAGCGUACCGGGGGUUCGAAUCCCUCCCUCUCCGCCA
rnacentral:tRNA from 2 species